GGGCUGGGGCUCAGUGGCAGAGCGCUUGCCUAGCACAUGAGAGGCUCUGGGUUCGAUCCUCAGCACCACA
rnacentral:tRNA from 1 species